GGGUGCGAUCAUACCGACACUACUAAUGCACCGGAUCCCAUCAAAACUCCGCAGUUAAACGUGCUUGAACGAAAGUAUUACUAAGUUGGAUGACCACUAAGAAGUCCUCGUGUUACACCCC
rnacentral:rRNA from 1 species